rnacentral:rRNA from 1 species
UACGAAGGGGGCUAGCGUUGCUCGGAAUCGCUGGGCGUAAAGCGCACGUAGGCGGAUUUGUAAGUCAGGGGUGAAAUCCCGGGGCUCAACCUCGGAACUGCCUUUGAUACUGCAAAUCUCGAGUCCGGAAGAGGUGAGUGGAAUUCCUAGUGUAGAGGUGAAAUUCGUAGAUAUUAGGAAGAACACCAGUGGCGAAGGCGGCUCACUGGUCCGGUACUGACGCUGAGGUGCGAAAGCGUGGGGAGCAAACAGG